rnacentral:rRNA from 1 species
UACAGAGGGGGCAAGCGUUGUUCGGAAUUACUGGGCGUAAAGGGCGCGUAGGCGGCCUGUUAAGUCGAACGUGAAAUCCCCGGGCUCAACCCGGGAACUGCGUCCGAUACUGGCAGGCUUGAAUUCGGGAGAGGGAUGUGGAAUUCCAGGUGUAGCGGUGAAAUGCGUAGAUAUCUGGAGGAACACCGGUGGCGAAGGCGGCAUCCUGGACCGGUAUUGACGCUGAGGCGCGAAAGCCAGGGGAGCAAACAGG